UACGGAGGGUGCAAGCGUUAUCCGGAUUCACUGGGUUUAAAGGGUGCGUAGGUGGGUCUGUAGUCAGCGGUGAAAUCUCCGGGCUUAACCCGGAAACUGCCAUUGAUACUAUAGAUCUUGAAUUGUCUGGAGGUAAGCGGAAUAUGUCAUGUAGCGGUGAAAUGCUUAGAUAUGACAUAGAACACCAAUUGCGAAGGCAGCUCACUACCCAGAUAUUGACACUGAGGCACGAAAGCGUGGGGAUCAAACAGG
rnacentral:rRNA from 1 species